rnacentral:rRNA from 1 species
AACGAACGCUGGCGGCAGGCUUAACACAUGCCAGUCGAACGCAUGCCUUCGGGCAUGAGUGGCAGACGGGUGAGUAACGCGUGGGAACCUACCCCUUGGUACGGGAUAGCUCCGGGAAACUGGAGAUAAUACCGUAUGUGUCCUGAGGGACAAAGAUUCAUCGCCAAGGGAUGGGCCCGCGUCGGAUUAGCUAGUUGGUGGGGUAACGGCCUACCAAGGCGACGAUCCGUAGCUGGUCUAAGAGGAUGAUCAGCCACAUUGGGACUGAGACACGGCCCAAACUCCUACGGGAGGCAGCAGUGGGGAAUAUUGGACAAUGGGCGCAAGUCUGAUCCAGCCGUGCCGCGUGAGUGAUGAAGGCCCUAGGGUUGUAAAGCUCUUUCACCGGUGACGAUAAUGACGGUAACCGGAGAAGAAGCCCCGGCUAACUUCGUG